rnacentral:rRNA from 1 species
GUACACGCUGUGACUAGCAUAUCAAUAAGCGGAGGAAAAGAAACUAACAAGGAUUCCCCUAGUAACGGCGAGUGAAGCGGGAAGAGCUCAAAUUUGAAAUCUUAAAGGGUUUCCCUUUACGAAUUGUAGUUUAAAGAAGUGUUUUCUGUUGAGGUUUUGGUAAAAGUUCUUUGGAAUAGGACAUCAUAGAGGGUGAGAAUCCCGUAUUUGACCUUUACUUUCAACUUUGUGAUACACUUUCAAAGAGUCGGAUUGUUUGGGAAUGCAGUCCAAGAUGGGUAGGUAAAUUUCAUCUAAAGCUAAAUAUUGGCGAGAGACCGAUAGCGAACAAGUACCGUGAGGGAAAGAUGAAAAGAACUUUGAAAAGAGAGUUAAACAGUACGUGAAAUUGUCAAAAGGGAAGCGUUUGACACCAGUGUUGUUUUUCUGAAAAUCAAUUAAAGAACUGUUUAUGCUAAGUUGUUUAGACUUUAUCAGCUAUCUGUUUAGUUUUGAGCUUUUCUUUAAUGCACUUUUCAGUUAACAAGUCAACAUCAAUCUCUUUUGCUGUGAAAAAAGCUUGAGGAAGGUGGCUUGAGAUUCGUCUUAAGUGUUUAUAGCCUCUUGCCUAUGCAGUCGGAGAGAUUGAGGUCUGCAGCGUAGAUCCUUCGGGGCUAAAUGCAUUUGUGCUAAGUUAUAGCAUUUUAUAGACAACUUGUUGACUAUGAUUUGUCUUGUAGCUUACUCGCUUAUGUUAUUUUACCUACGCUUAGGAUGUUGACGCGCGUGUGUGCGUG